GAUGAACGCUGGCGGCGUGCCUAAUACAUGCAAGUCGAGCGAACGGACGAGAAGCUUGCUUCUCUGAUGUUAGCGGCGGACGGGUGAGUAACACGUGGAUAACCUACCUAUAAGACUGGGAUAACUUCGGGAAACCGGAGCUAAUACCGGAUAAUAUUUUGAACCGCAUGGUUCAAAAGUGAAAGACGGUUUUGCUGUCACUUAUAGAUGGAUCCGCGCUGCAUUAGCUAGUUGGUAAGGUAACGGCUUAGCAAGGCAACGAUGCAUAGCCGACCUGUGCGGGUGGUCGUCGACACUAGAACUGGGACACGGUCCAGACUCCUACGGGAGGCAGCAGUAGGGAAUCUUCCGCAAUGGGCGAAAGCCUGACGGAGCAACGCCACGUGAGUGAUGAAGGUCUUCGGAUCGUAAAACUCUGUUAUUAGUGAUGAACAUAUGUGUAAGUAACUGUGCAGAUCUUGACGGUACCUUAUCAGAAAGCCACGGCUAACUACGUG
rnacentral:rRNA from 1 species